rnacentral:rRNA from 1 species
UACGGAGGAUGCGAGCGUUAUCCGGAUUUAUUGGGUUUAAAGGGUGCGCAGGCGGGCUGUUAAGCCGGCGGUAAAAAUUCAGGGCUCAACCCUAUCGAGCCGUCGGAACUGGCAGUCUUGAGUGGGCGAGAAGUAUGCGGAAUGCGUGGUGUAGCGGUGAAAUGCAUAGAUAUCAGGAGGAACACCAGUGGCGAAGGCGGCCACCUGGACCGGUAUUGACGCUGAGGCGCGAAAGCGUGGGGAGCAAACAGG